rfam:Clostridiales bacterium 42_27 Ley3_66761_scaffold_1716, whole genome shotgun sequence.
UGCGCAAUCGGGAAUGAGGUUCUCCCACGGCACUGCCGAAACCGCUUUUUUGAGCUGAUGACUUCUGUGAUUUU